rnacentral:rRNA from 1 species
UACGGAGGAUGCAAGCGUUAUCCGGAUUCAUUGGGUUUAAAGGGUGCGUAGGCGGACUAUUAAAUCAGUGGUGAAAGCCUGCAGCUUAACUGCAGAACUGCCAUUGAUACUGAUAGUCUUGAGUUUGGUUAAGGUAGGCGGAAUGUGUAAUGUAGCGGUGAAAUGCUUAGAUAUUACACAGAACACCAAUUGCGUAGGCAGCUUACUGAGCCGACACUGACGCUGAGGCACGAAAGCGUGGGGAUCGAACA